AGUGAACGCUGGCGGCAGGCCUAACACAUGCAAGUCGAGCGGCAGCGCGGGGGCAACCCUGGCGGCGAGCGGCGGACGGGUGAGGAAUGCAUCGGAAUCUGCCUCGUUGUGGGGGAUAACGUAGGGAAACUUACGCUAAUACCGCAUACGACCGAGAGGUGAAAGUGGGGGACCGCAAGGCCUCACGCGAUGAGAUGAGC
rnacentral:rRNA from 1 species